CAUACAUGUAGUUUAUUGUUUAAAUUUGCUGUUUCUACUGUGUAACAAUCCUCAAUUGAAAUAAAUAUCAAACUUACAGAUAGAUAAUAUUGUUUCAUCAUUGUAUCUUACUCAAGUUACUGAGAAUCUAUUUGUUGACUGGCGCUAUUUAUUAUAGGGGCUAUUCUCUCACAGCAUGACCUUGAUACCUGUACAUUGUAUACAAAUACAGUGUAUACACACUGCAGAGAUAAAGGGUUAACUCUGGAAUGCUGCUGUGUUAUAAAUAGAACUCUCAACCAAUGAAAAUAAAGAUAUGUAGUAGAGCCAAAACACACAAAGUAAUCCCAACAGUCCUGUUUUAUUUCAAAGGCCUUUUAAAUAUUUAAAAAUAGACAAUGAAAGAUAUUCUCUUUUUAGUAGAUUAAGUAUUUGUUAACACAUUCUAGUGGAGAUUCCUUCAACAAUAGAUAGCAAAAUAGAAAGCUGCUCAAGAAUAUCAAAAGUUUACAAGUAAACAGGAACUUCUUUGUUGGAGAUAUUCCUUUACACAUGCAGCUGGAAUUUAAACAGUUUAUGUUGCUAAAAUAACUUUUAAAUGGACACUGGAUAAAGUAUGAGGUGUGUAUGUACCUGACAUAUGCCAAAACACACAUAGAUGAAAUUAUGAGGCAUGAGACAUUUUUAGGCUUCAGUGAUUUACACUGUAGAGUGAAUGGUGCUCACAGAGAAACCCUAUUGAUGUGUAAACUUUUUGAUGGUAUACACCUCAUGGACUUGAUGGCAAAUAGUGGAAAACAGUGGCAUUCUCCAUGCCGGGUAGUGGAUAAUGGUGGAGAAAUAUCCAUGGCAAAUAGUGGCAUUUAGAGAAAAACAGUGGCAUAUUUUACACUGAUUGCCACAACAGUUAAGGUGGCAAAUAGUGGAAAAUUUAAGUGGCAAAUGGUGAAAUACGUUGCAAUACUCCAUUGAUAGUGGCAUUCAAUGAAAAACAAUGGCAGUUUUUACAUCGAUAUGUGACAGUGGCAAACAGUGAAAAACUUUAAUGGCAAAUAGUGAAAAAUGUUCCAAUACUCCACUGAUACUGGCAUUUAAUGUAAAAUGGUGGAAAAUUUUGACUGGCCUUUCCAACCUCUAUUUUUUCAAUGUUUUCCAUCAGUUUCCACUCAAUUUAUUUUAUUUUGUUGGGUUUAACGUCGCACCGACACAAUUAUAGGUCAUAUGGCGACGUUCCAGCUUUGAUGGUGGAGGAAGAUCCCAGGUGCCCCUCCGUGCAUUAUUUCGUCACGAGCGGGCACCUGGGUAGAACCACCGACCUUCCGUAAGUCAGCUGGAUGGCUUCCUCACAGUUUCCACUCAAAGAGGCUUGUUCCAAUACUCCAAUGUUUUCCAAUGAUUUUUCAGUGGAAAAUGGUGGCAAAUUUACAGAAGGGUAUGCAGCACUAGGCCUAGUACUUAUCAUUCCUGUGAAGUUUCAUUCAAAUCUCACCAAAGGAAAAGCAGUAAUCAAGACAAAUUUUAUCAAAAAUUACCUUAAAGUGACCAUAACUCUGUAAAUAAUAAUCAGAGUAGAUUGUGAUAUGUACAGCUAGGCUUCGUACGAAUCACUCCUGUGAAAUUUCACUGAAAUCUGGCCAGGAUUUUUUGAAAAGUGCCAACAAGCUAAACGCACAUGGACAGACAGAUGGCAGAGGCAAAAGCAACAUCUCCAAUGUAAUGAAAAGACAUUAUCUUGACUAUUUCGAUGAUUGACUGAUAGUGAAAUAGGGAAUAUUCUAAUAUCUAAGUAAAAAAGGGGCAUAAUUCAUGAAAUAUUGGUGCCAGAGUUAUAGUCUUUGUGUCAUAUGACAUGGAUAUGAUGAGGAACAACUCUGAGUUUGGAGCAAAUCCCAGCAUGUAAUAAAAAACAUGAAGAGAUAGGGCAUCAAAUUUUUGAUUAAUACGCAGACACUGUUGCACACAAGUACACCAAAGCUCUUCAUAUACUUCGUGCAGUUGACAUAAAAAGGUUCAAAUAUCCAAAACUGGAGAAUGAUACAACCCUUCUGCUACUGUUACAAUUGCAAAAUUACCAUUAUGCAUCAUUCUUUUCUUUUGGUAAAUUUGAUUCACAAUGUCAUUCAGUACUUACCUCUUGUUUUGUUAAACAAAAACUUCAGUAACAAUCAAAUAUACACUGGUGAAAUUACUAUUGAAGCUUACUGUAUUUGUCAGAAACAGCAUCAGUUUCAACUAUUCACUACCAUUUGAAUAUGUUCUGAUUAAUUUCUAUAAAUAAAAGUCUCCAAAAUGCUUUCACCAUUGUGUCUGAUUAAAGCUUAUAUCUUGGAUA
rnacentral:lncRNA from 1 species